AUGGAGCAAUUGGAGAAGAGGAUGGAUGCUGCUGAACAACAAAUCAAAGAGCUGCGUGAAGAUCUUAAUAGGAGAUUUGACCAGCUGGUUGAGAUGAUAAGAAAGGGUGUCCCCCCUGCUACCAAUGAAGGAGAUUCAUCUAAAGAAGAGGAAGAUGUUCAUGAAGGAAGAAGGAGAGGUAAUCUUGGAGCAAUACCGCCAUGA
rnacentral:rRNA from 1 species